rnacentral:rRNA from 1 species
UGGGGUGACUGCGUACCUUUUGUAUAAUGGGUCAGCGACUUAUAUUCUGUAGCAAGGUUAACCGAAUAGGGGAGCCGGAGGGAAACCGAGUCUUAACCGGGCGUUAAGUUGCAGGGUAUAGACCCGAAACCCGGUGAUCUAGCCAUGGGCAGGUUGAAGGUUGGGUAACACUAACUGGAGGACCGAACCGACUAAUGUUGAAAAAUUAGCGGAUGACCUGUGGCUGGGGGUGAAAGGCCAAUCAAACCGGGAGAUAGCUGGUUCUCCCCGAAAGCUAUUUAGGUAGCGCCUCGUGAAUUCAUCUCCGGGGGUAGAGCACUGUUUCGGCUAGGGGGCCAUCCCGGCUUACCAACCCGAUGCAAACUGCGAAUACCGGAGAAUGUUAUCACGGGAGACACACGGCGGGUGCUAACGUCCGUCGUGAAGAGGGAAACAACCCAGACCGCCAGCUAAGGUCCCAAAGUCAUGGUUAAGUGGGAAACGAUGUGGGAAGGCCCAGACAGCCAGGAUGUUGGCUUAGAAGCAGCCAUCAUUUAAAGAAAGCGUAAUAGCUCACUGGUCGAGUCGGCCUGCGCGGAAGAUGUAACGGGGCUAAACCAUGCACCGAAGCUGCGGCAGCGACACUCAGGUGUUGUUGGGUAGGGGAGCGUUCUGUAAGCCUGUGAAGGUGGCCUGUGAGGGUUGCUGGAGGUAUCAGAAGUGCGAAUGCUGACAUAAGUAACGAUAAAGCGGGUGAAAAGCCCGCUCGCCGGAAGACCAAGGGUUCCUGUCCAACGUUAAUCGGGGCAGGGUGAGUCGACCCCUAAGGCGAGGCCGAAAGGCGUAGUCGAUGGGAAACGGGUUAAUAUUCCCGUACUUGGUGUUACUGCGAAGGGGGGACGGAGAAGGCUAUGUUGGCCGGGCGA